GAAGGUGAAAUUAGAUUGUUUAAACCAAAAAAAUUGCUUUAGCUAAAGCUGGAAAAGCUUAGAUAAAAACUAGGAUUAGAUACCCUAUUAUUCUAAGGUUUAAAAGACUACCAGAGUAUUAAAAGUUAUGUGCUUAAAAUUUAAAGGAUUUGGCGGCAACUUAGUCUAGUCAGAGGAACCUGUUUUAGGAUUGAUAAACCUCGUAAUAUCUUACUUGGGUUUGUAUAUCGUCAUUAUCAGAUAAUUUUUAUAGAAGUAAUUAUUUAUAUUGAUUAAUCAAGAAAAUUAGAUCAAGGUGCAGCUUAUAAACAAGUUAAAAUGGGUUACAAUAAAAUUUAUUUAAACGGAUUGAAGAUUCUUGAAGGAGGAUUUGAUUGUAAAGUAGAGUUUUUAAUAUGUGUAGUAGAUAUAAGCUCUAAGUUGUGUACAUAUCGCCCGUCGCUUUC
rnacentral:rRNA from 1 species